rnacentral:rRNA from 1 species
AUACGGAGGGUGCAAGCGUUACUCGGAAUCACUGGGCGUAAAGCGCGCGCAGGCGGGCUGAUAAGUUGGAUGUGAAAGCCUACGGCUCAACCGUAGAACUGCAUCCAAAACUGUCAGUCUAGAGUCUGGGAGGGGAAGAUGGAAUUAGUUGUGUAGGGGUAAAAUCCGUAGAGAUAACUAGGAAUACCAAAAGCGAAGGCGAUCUUCUGGAACAGUUCUGACGCUGAGGCGCGAAAGCGUGGGGAGCAAACAGGAUUAGAUACCCUUGUAGUCC